GGUUAAGUGACUAAGCGUACAUGGUGGAUGCCUUGGCAGUCAGAGGCGAUGAAGGACGUACUAACCUGCGAUAAGCCGUGAGCAGUCGGUAAGAGACAUUACGACUCACGGAUUUCCGAAUGGGGAAACCCACUUAGCAUAAGCUAGGUAUCGCUACGUGAAUACAUAGCGUAGCGAGGCGAACCGGGAGAACUGAAACAUCUAAGUACCCCGAGGAAAAGAAAUCAACCGAGAUUCCCUCAGUAGCGGCGAGCGAACGGGGAUUAGCCCUUAAGCAUCUUGGAAGUUAGUGGAACGGUCCUGGAAAGGCCGGCGAUACAGGGUGAUAGCCCCGUACACGAAAACAACCUUGAUGUGAAAUCGAGUAGGGCGGGACACGUGACAUCCUGUCUGAAUAUGGGGGGACCAUCCUCCAAGGCUAAAUACUCCUGACUGACCGAUAGUGAACCA
rnacentral:rRNA from 1 species